AAUCCAUAGGUUAAUGAGGCGAACCGGGGGAACUGAAACAUCUAAGUACCCCGAGGAAAAGAAAUCAACCGAGAUUCCCCCAGUAGCGGCGAGCGAACGGGGAGGAGCCCAGAGCCUGAAUCAGCAUGUGUGUUAGUGGAAGCGUCUGGAAAGGCGCGCGAUACAGGGUGACAGCCCCGUACACAAAAGCGCAUGUGCUGUGAGCUCGAUGAGUAGGGCGGGACACGUGGUAUCCUGUCUGAAUAUGGGGGGACCAUCCUCCAAGGCUAAAUACUCCUGACUGACCGAUAGUGAACCAGUACCGUGAGGGAAAGGCGAAAAGAACCCCGGCGAGGGGAGUGAAACAGAACCUGAAACCGUGUACGUACAAGCAGUGGGAGCCCCACCACUAAGCCAGUGGUGAGUUCCAUGAUGCAUCCUUUGCUGAAGGUGCGGUUGGCGGAGCGUUUUUUGCGACGCCCAACACACAAAACAAGCAGAGGGGGCUUAGUGGUGGGGUGACUGCGUACCUUUUGUAUAAUGGGUCAGCGACUUAUAUUCUGUAGCAAGGUUAACCGAAUAGGGGAGCCGGAGGGAAACCGAGUCUUAACCGGGCGUUAAGUUGCAGGGUAUAGACCCGAAACCCGGUGAUCUAGCCAUGGGCAGGUUGAAGGUUGGGUAACACUAACUGGAGGACCGAACCGACUAAUGUUGAAAAAUUAGCGGAUGACCUGUGGCUGGGGGUGAAAGGCCAAUCAAACCGGGAGAUAGCUGGUUCUCCCCGAAAGCUAUUUAGGUAGCGCCUCGUGAAUUCAUCUCCGGGGGUAGAGCACUGUUUCGGCUAGGGGGCCAUCCCGGCUUACCAACCCGAUGCAAACUGCGAAUACCGGAGAAUGUUAUCACGGGAGACACACGGCGGGUGCUAACGUCCGUCGUGAAGAGGGAAACAACCCAGACCGCCAGCUAAGGUCCCAAAGUCAUGGUUAAGUGGGAAACGAUGUGGGAAGGCCCAGACAGCCAGGAUGUUGGCUUAGAAGCAGCCAUCAUUUAAAGAAAGCGUAAUAGCUCACUGGUCGAGUCGGCCUGCGCGGAAGAUGUAACGGGGCUAAACCAU
rnacentral:rRNA from 1 species